rnacentral:rRNA from 1 species
UACGAAGGGGGCUAGCGUUGCUCGGAAUUACUGGGCGUAAAGCGUGCGCAGGCGGUCUAUUAAGACAGGUGUGAAAUCCCCGGACUUAACCUGGGAACUGCGCUUGUAACUGAUAGGCUUGAGUGUGGCAGAGGGGGGUGGAAUUCCACGUGUAGCAGUGAAAUGCGUAGAGAUGUGGAGGAACACCGAUGGCGAAGGCAGCCCCCUGGGCUAACACUGACGCUCAUGCACGAAAGCGUGGGGAGCAAACAGG